rnacentral:rRNA from 1 species
CCUACGGGUGGCAGCAGUGGGGAAUAUUGCACAAUGGGGGAAACCCUGAUGCAGCGACGCCGCGUGAGCGAUGAAGUAUUUCGGUAUGUAAAGCUCUAUCAGCAGGGAAGCAAAUGACGGUACCUGACUCAGAAGCCCCGGCUAACUACGUGCCUGCAGCCGCGGUACUACGGAGGGGGCAAGCGUUAUCCGGAUUUGCUGGGGGUAAAGGGAGCGUAGGCGGCUGUGCAAGCCAGAUGUGAAAGCCGGGGGCUCAACCCCGGGACUGCAUUUGGGACUGUGUGGCUAGAGUGUCGGAGAGGCAAGCGGAAUUCGUAGUGUAGCGGGGAAAGGCGUAGAUAUCAGGAGGAACACCAGUGGCGAAGGCGG